GUUGGGGUGUCUCCUGUCAGCAUGCAGGAUUUCCUGGUCUCAUUCUUUAAUAGCUCUGUCAACUGUGUAAAGUUAAACGAGGGCGGGUGGUUUAGAAAGGUCUGCCUGAUUGAUCAGCAGCUGGAUCUUGCUUCACUGGGUGAGGUCUCUCACAGCUGGAUAUGUUGUUGUUUGCACCAAUUUUUUGGUUCAAUUAGGGCUAAUUCUGUGCAUAAACCCCCAGCAUGUUAAGUAUGAAACUGGCAUAUGGGUCUAAGUGCACCACAUACAAAGGAACAUGCAGUGUGUGUCCUCAUCCUCUCAUACACAUUUGAAUUAUAUUGCCCAAAUGAUGGGAAGUCGGGACAAAAUAUAUGGAGAAAUGGGAUAUUCAUAUUCACAUUUCUCUUGAUUUAUUCAUUUUGGGCAGUUAGUGAUGGUUGGAUUUGCAUGUGGUUUUGUCCAAAAGACAGGUGUAAAUUAGCUGCUCAGACAUGCUGCUCAGAACAGGAUAGCCAUUGUUUGGUGUACCCCGCCUUGUCCCCCAUGCCCCCUGGGAUAGGGUCCAGGCUCCCCGAAACCCAGCAGGAUAAGUGGUAUAGAAAAUGGCUGGAUGGACUAUUUCACAGCAGCUUCUAAACCCCAAUACACAGAGAGCAUUUAGUAGACGUCCCAGCCACUGCUUAUGUGAUGAGCUAUAGCUUCAGUAAAUUAAAUAUUAUUGUCAGACUGGUUGUAAGAGCAUAUUGGGGACACAAGAACUCAUGUUUUUCACAGCACCUGUUCACACAUGUACAUCUGGCCCUGAAGACCACUUAAUAACAGGUGCGCUGCACUAGGAAGUGCUAACUAAAGAACUCUGCUGCAGUAUUAUUUAUCAGCAUCUGACUGCUGUGUCUAGUGUCUGUCUGUGGUUUACUUGUACUGUGGUCAGUACUAGAUUGACUGCAGAGCAGAGCCGCUGUAUGAACUUAUGAUUCAUACAUAUAUGAAGGGAUUAUACAGGGAUAAUUCUGGAUUCUGGGAUAAUUCCAAUAAUUAUAUAAACGAUUCAUAUAAUUUAAACAUAUCCAGGCACUGUGAUAUUGUUUACUGAUUUUUUCCCUCAUUGGGUACAUCUAGAGGUGAGUAGUGUAAUAAACAGUAAUGUAAUAUGUACCUGUACUGUAUAUAUAACUGGAACUGUGUGUGUCUGCUGCAGGUGACCUUGUGCUCCAAUACAGUGCAGCAAUACAGUCUGGCACUGGUGGUGGAUGUGCAUGGAGUUGGGGAGGAGGUGUUAGCUCUCCCAAUUAAGGCUAGACAACUUUCUCUACAGCUGUGUUAUUCUAGAAGUGCACCUGGAGAGUUCCAUGCUUCAGUUCUAGCACUGCUUCCUGGGUUAUCACUAUGAGCAGACCAUCAGGCUGAUUAAUGACACAAACCUCCCUGCAUGCUAUGGCCUUCUAGCCCAGGAGUAUGAGGAGAACCCGUCUCUACUAUACUCUACUGCUCAUGCACGAGGAGUGAUCCAACCAUACAGUACUGAGCAGAUUCCUCUGGUUCUUCAGGCUAAAACAGUGAGCCAGGUGCAACUCACUGCUCUCAUUUUAAGCCAACAGGAUCCUCCACUGGAGUUGCUCCUGUCCUGCAUUGGGAAGGGUCCAAUUGUCUCCCUUUCUGCCACUGAGCUGCACUUUGGCACCAUCCCACUGCUCAAUGACAUCCCAAGGACACUGCAGUUGUUCAACCUUUCCCACAUUCCGGCCC
ensembl:lncRNA